UCCCUGGUGGUCCAGUGGUUAGGACUCGGCACUGUCACUGCUGUGGGCCUGGGUUCAAUUCCUGGUCGGGGAC